AUCACAGACUGACUCAUGGCUUAUAGUCAAAUCCCAUGGAAUUAUUCCUGCAAAACAGAACGUGGAGCACCUGAGCUGGAUUCUGUGUUCCCAACAGCUCCUGGUGGAUUUUCCUUGGCUCCAGCAGAUCCAUUCCCUUUCUCCUGGAGUGUGCUCAGCACCACGGAACCCUGCUCUGAACCCGAGGCACCAACAUCCCAGCCCAGGCUCCCCGCAGCAAGAUGCCCCACUCUGAACCUUGGCCAGGCAAAGAAGAUUUCUGGGAACGGGACCUCAGGCUUCCUAAUCCUCUGCUAUCUCACGGUAUUUGCAUCAUUCCCAGCCUAAGGAGAUGUGACUGUCUCUGCAGUUUGCUGCUUCCCUUCCACCCCAGUUCCAGCUGGGAAAGACAGUCUGGUGUUCGAGAGUUCCUGGGGAAAAAUUAUUGGCAAUUCUGUGCUGCCCUAAAUGGGAGCACUAAAAUUUUGGGGUGUGGACAGGUCCCAGGCGUGGGCUGCAGGCACCAAGUGUCCUUCAAAAGAGCACCCAGCUGGGUGUGCAUUCCUCACCACGUUGCUACACACAGUUGUGCAAUAUUUGCCUUAUUUGUGCAACGUAAUUAAUGAAACAUGUCUCAUUGGCACCAGCAUCCCCAGGGACCCUAAAGCAAACGGGGGCCUUUGAAGCCUGAGAGGGUCUUAAAAGCAGAAAAUAUUUACCACAAGUUUAUUAAACCAAGCUUUACUGGUAAUAAAUUAGCAGCUUGUA